ACCGGAUUUAAGAAGUUAGCACCACCGAUUUGGGCGAACUCCCUCUGUCCCUCAACACUGGGAAUUCCGGAAGGGCGUCUCUUGGGCUACCACCGUGCCGCCAAGAAUAAGCGGCCUGAGAGUUAUCAGAGUAUAUAUAAGGCUGGAGAGCCGUCGAGGGAAGUUAGUGAGAGCCGUUCCUCCUCCUCCUCCUCCUUUCCCCGACGAGCCCCGCUUGGCAGAGUUCUGAUUACUCAUCAUGAAGCUGCCACUUGUACUUCUGCUGAUGGGAGUGCUUGGGUCCAUCUUCGUCGACGCUCAACCUCUGUUUGGAAAAGGGGGCUUUUCCAAACACUUCGGGCUUGGAGGAGGCUUUGGCCACGGAUUCGGAUUUCCAGGAUUUGGCGGAGGCUAUUACCCAGGUGGAUACGGGGGAUACUAUCCAAGUUUUGGAGGAGGUUUCUACCCAGGAUAUGGAGGCGGUUAUGGCCCUGGUUUCGGCUACGGAGGACUCGGUGUGGGUUUUGGAGGCGGCCUCUUUGGCUGAUUGCUAACCUCCAGAUUCUGAAUAGCUUCUUAAAUUGCUGUCUAUGUAUGAUAUAUACAUAUAUUAAAAAACAGGUUCACGCAGGAUUCUUAAUUUCUUAUUAUGAUUACAUUAUAUCAUUGGACUACGUUCUUUUAGGCACGUAUGCAAUGCAUGCCCAAGGGAAGAACAUUUUCUUUGGUUGUCAUGAUUGAUGUCAUUCAUUCGAAUAUUACUAGUCUAAGAAGUCACCUGAGAUAUCAAAGAAACUUUUACCUCACCCAGUCCGUUCUGUAUUGCCAAAGUCUUUGAUGUUUAUUUGAAUAACAACACCUAAGAAA